CUCCCCUGCCUCCCAGGGUCUGUGUGCCUCGUGCACCCCUUAGAGAAGACCCCCAUGGGGCUUACGAAAAUCCAGCUCUUUUGGAUUGAACUGACCUUUCCAGCCCUGGCCAGGACCUCCAAAGCACUCCACCCAUGGACCCUAAUGAAGGCACGUCCCCCUGAUUCCGCUGCUCUCUCUGUCUGUACUCUGCCUUGACCUCCCUGUGUGGCCACUCAGGGUACGCCGUGAACUUCUUCCAGGACUUGUGAGCCAUAAACUUUCCUCUUUAAAUUUCCCUGUGGUCUCUCGUUGAACCGUGGCUCACCAUCUGACACCCUGUGCUCCACUUAACAAAUGUUAAUUUAACCAAGUCACAAUAGGAGCAGAGCAUAGAGUUUUGGAGGUUCUGUGUGGUGACCUCCAAAGUCUAGGGUGCGGCCCGGAAUGGGUAGGUGGAGUUCACUGGAGUCCAGGGGUUAAGAAGUGUUGAAGGUUAGGGAUCGGAAUGGGUCAUCCACAGGAUGAUCUCUUUUUUGGACAAAUCCAAUACUGUACCUGAUGGAGAGGAAGGUGCUGGACUGGAAGCUCCCCUGGUUGGUUUUCUGGAAGCUGAUGGAGUCAGAUUGAAACUGUUCGGCCGUCUUUGAGAGCAUUUGCAUUUUCGUUCUGGGAACCCUCCAUGUUACUUGCUCACUCCUCUGCUGGGCUGUUGAUAUCUCUCUUUCUCUCCACCCUUUUUGAGAACGAGGUCUUUAUUUUUUGGCCACUGCUCCUUUUCUUCCUCCCAGUCCAAAGAGAAUGGAAGCUAAAGAGCUGCUCGCACACAGAGCUUCUUUUCUUCUUUUUGAUCCCCAGCCUCACAGACUGUCUGCUUCCUGCAAAUAUGGCUUUCCCGUGCGAUCCUCCUUCAGCCUGGUCUCCGAUGCUCCCUCGCCACGACCAAACCAGGCCCAGGUGCUCCUACCACCAGCCAUGCCCCCAGCUCCUUUGGAAGGAAUCAAGAGAUAAUGGGUCAUGCACCUCGAUUUGUACCACUCGCUCAGGAGAACUCUGCUUCUGCAGAUUUUUAUUUAAAAAUAAAAAGAUUUGCAGCUGCAGCCA
rnacentral:lncRNA from 1 species